GCCCGGAUGGCGAAAUCGGUAGACGCAAGGGACUUAAAAUCCCUCGGGGGUAACCCCGUGCCGGUUCGAUCCCGGCUCCGGGCACCA
rnacentral:tRNA from 1 species